rnacentral:rRNA from 1 species
UCCCUAUGGGGUGCAGCAGGCGCGAAAACUCCACAAUGUACGGAAGUACGAUGGGGUUAUCUCGAGUGCAGUCCGAUAAGGGCUGCUUUUCCAUAGAGUAAUAUCCUGUGGGAAUAAGAGGGGGGCAAGACUGGUGUCAGCCGCCGCGGUAACACCAGCCCCUCGAGUGGUGGGGACUAUUAUUUGGCCUAAAGCGUCCGUAGCUGGCUGUAUCCGUCCCCCGUUAAAUCCAGCGUCCUAAGCGUUGGACCGCGGGUGAUACCAUACAGCUAGAGGGUGGGAUAGGUGAGCGGUAUUUCUGGGGUAGGGGCGAAAUCCUUUGAUCCCAGGAGGACCACCAGUGGCGAAGGCUGCUCACUAGAACACGCCUGACGGUCAGGGACGAAAGCUGGGGCAGCGAACCGGAUUAGAUACCCGGGUAGUCCCAGCUGUAAACGAUGCUAGCUAGGUGUUGGGUCGGCCAAGCGCCGCCCCAGUGCCGCAGGGAAGCCGUUAAGCUAGCCGCCUGGGGAGUACAGCCGCAAGGCUGAAACUUAAAGGAAUUGGCGGGGGAGCACCACCAGGCGUGAAGCCUGCGGUUUAAUUGAAGUCAACGCCAGAAAUCUUACCGGGAUCGACAGCAGAAUGAAGGCCANNUUGAAGGUCUUGCUAGACGAGCUGAGAAGAAGUGCAU